rnacentral:rRNA from 1 species
AUUGAACGCUGGCGGCAGGCCUAACACAUGCAAGUCGAACGAGUGGCGGACGGGUGAGUAAUGUCUGGGAACCUGCCCGAUGGAGGGGGAUAACUACUGGAAACGGUAGCUAAUACCGCAUACUAUCAGCUGUGCCCAGAUCGGAUUAGCUUGUUGGUGGGGUAACGGCUCACCAAGGCGACGAUCCCUAGCUGGUCUGAGAGGAUGACCAGCCACACUGGAACUGAGACACGGUCCAGACGCCUACGGGAGGCAGCAGUGGGGAAUAUUGCACAAUGGGGGAAAGCCUGAUGCAGCCAUGCCGCGGGUAUGAAGAAGGCCUUCGGGUUGUAAAGUACUUUCAGCGGGGAGGAGGUACCCGCAGAAGAAGCACCGGCUAACUACGUGCCAGCAGCCGCGGUAAUUC